rnacentral:misc_RNA from 1 species
AACGCACAUUGCGCCCCUUGGUAUUCCAUGGGGCAUGCCUGUUCGAGCGUCAUUUGUACCCUCAAGCUUUGCUUGGUGUUGGGCGUUUUGUCUGUUUAUUCAGACUCGCCUUAAAGUCAUUGGCAGCCAGUGUUUUUGGUAGUAAGCGCAGCACAUUUUGCGUCUUAGUCUCUAAACAGUGGCAUCCAUGAAGCCUCUUUCUCACUUUUGACCUCGGAUCAGGUAGGGAUACCCGCUGAACUUAA